ACCCCAUGUAAACACCCCUUUUCUCCCUCCUGUACACGUGGCUUCCCCUCAGGCAGCAACUCACCUCCUUCUCUGCUUCCCCUCAGGCCUUUCUUUCUUUUCCUUUUCUCUGUCUCCGCUUUAACCCUCUUUCACUCCGGAGCCCCUUUGGAUGGAAUUGUUGCCUUCUUUUCCCCCUCUCCCUCCUUCCCCUCACGCCCUUUCUGCAUUAUGUAGCUGCCCCUCUCUACCUCUCCGCCACCACCUCUGGCCCCUGAGCUCUUCUUUUUUUCACCAGAUUGGCCACUUCCUUCCCCUCGUUUCUCUCUGCUGGCCAUUAUUCGUCUGUCCAUAGGGUCGGGUAGUUAGUAGAAAUGCCACAUACCACUCCUUUUCUCUCUUUUGUGCAUGUGGCUGGCCGUUAGUCAGCAACCCACUUCCCUCUCUAUUUCCCCUGAAGCCUUUGUGUAUUUUACAGGUGUACCUGUUUUUUCUUUUUCUUUUUCUCUUUUUCUUUGUUUCUUUUCUCUUUUGCUGUUUUUUUGGUCUUUCAUGUUUGUUGUGGAAGAAGCCACGCGUUUAGACACAGUCUAGUUGUCCUGAAUUAUACCCUAGACAACUCUACUGAGCUCAGUUAGGUUGCAUGGACCAUAAAUCAGGGCGUAAACGAUUCACCCUGAAGAAAAUGACAGAGUAUUUUUAAGAGUAAUGUAUUCUCCUUUAAUGUUAGUAAUACAACAGAUGGUGCUUAUAGUUAAAAAACAUGAUACAUAUUAAAGCUCAAAAGAAUGUCUUUUUCAUUUUGUGUUUCUGAGAAUGGGUUCAUUUUGUUUCAUAAAGAAUACCAGAAAUUCUACAUUCUGGAGGGGAAAAUAUUAACUGGAGAAAAUCUGUGCGUAAGCAGAGGCAGAGUAAUAAAGAACACUCCAAUAUGUGCUCUUUUUGUGAAAUUAUAGGUUUAAUCUGCAUUUCCCAACCUUCCGGAUCGGGACUCAAAUAUGGGUCACUAUUUCAUUUCAAAAGGGGCACCCAGUGUCUCCUCAGGUGCCUCUGCCGUCCUUCUUUCACACCAUUUUUUAUUUGCUUUGGGUCCCUAAGUCUUCCUGAAUUGUCAAAAUUGUUUCCGAUCUCAAGAAGGUUGGAAACUGCUGGGUUAAAUCAUGAUUAGGGCACAUUCCUACAAGCCCACUUGAUACGUUCAUAAUGCAGUUUCUAUGGCAACAGAAUCCAUGUACCUUUUUUCUCAACCAAUCAAUAAGCAGCACAAAUUAGGGAGUCCUUGCUCCCAAUAAUAUUACUUUAAUUUGCACUCUUCCAGUGAAUCAUUUUAGUUUGAUUUUAUUUCAGCAAAACUGAAAAAUGAAUGUCAUGUACUUUAGAACAGAGUGGAUGGUAAACUAUCAAGCAUAUUUUUAAGUCUCUGGAUCCUUUGUCUUCUGAACACUGUUUGCAUUCCCAGGAAAGAAAAUCUUCUCCUGGCAGCAGGUUUUGGCAUGGUGACCCUAAACGUCACAAGAUUAAUGAAAAUGGGAGUUCAAAUCCUGUGGUAUAUACCAGCUACAAAACCAGGUUACAACCCCCUAGAAACUGAUCAUUGAAAUACUGGCAAGCAAAACCUGUAUUAUAGACAGGAGAAAAGGAUUAUAAAAGGUACAAUAUUAGAGUAAAGCAAACAUCACACAAAAAAUAAAUACAGGUGCAUGUAUAUAAAUAUAUAUUAAAAAUCAAACACAAACAUUAAAUUGCUAUUACUUCAGAACAACUUAAAAUGUAUUAAAAGACUUCUGGCUUUCCUGUGCCAGUUUAUCUAGAUAUACAAUCAAAAUUGUUGUCAGAGGAGUCCACCGCAGUAUGAUGAUGAAUAAUUGCUUUAUUUUAAACUCAUUUGUUAUUUAAAUAUUGCAUUAUUUUCGGAGACUACUUGGGUAUAUGAAAUUGGCCUUUUAAUCUGUGUUUUUUCCUUGUAAAAGAUGUAUUGACUGUUCUAAUCUUGUAAAAGAUUUAUUCCUCUGUAUAUUGAGUUAUCAUGAGUGUUUCUAUGUAUUCUUCCUUCUCCAGAUUUAUAUAGUAAUUUUAUCUCUUUAAAAAUAAUCUCCUAGUUUCUUUGCCUACCCAAAUGGCCCCAGUCUUUUCUUUCUUUUCCCAUAAUGCAGUUUCCUUUACUCUUCCCAAAGAUUAGUAUAGGGUUGGGUAUUUGAGUCCCUACCUCCCCUCCUUCCCCCUCUCCCCCUCCCCUUCAUUUGAAGUUUUCGAGGGGGAAAACUCCAUUACCUCUUUCCUCAUAACGUGUUUGAAGAGAACAUAUUGCACAGCUACCGGUCAUUGUACAUAAGCCAACAAACAGCCUGUGUAGGAGACAGUGUUAUUGAACUUUUGUGGGCUAAGGUGCUAUACUUAUGGAAGAGGUUAGAUUUGGAGGGAAGUCGUGCAGAGGGACAUGAAUUCUUAAUGCACACUGUAGUACACUGUUCCCCCAGGGAGUGUACAAGUACUAAGUAAGGUGCUCAUCCUGAGUUGAAUCAUACAAAGUAGUGGAUAUCCUCACCAUUUGGGAAUAACAGAUCUAGUAUUUGUGUGUUUAGCAGUUAGGGGACUAGACACUACAACACAGGAGAGUGCUUGGGUGGCUAACAAGCUGGAGAGCUGAGACUCUUAUGACUGGAGUAGUGUGGUGGAAUACUUGCAUAGUGGAGAGCAGAGGUUUCAGUAAAUGCCUGGACCUGAUCUGACCUUUAGGAAGCACCCUGCUGAAAGAAUAUAGUGACAAGCCCUAUGAUAAGUUACUAGAAAUCUAGUCCUAGUUUAAAGCAGUACCCUAAAGCUGUGUCUAGACUGGCCAGUUUUCCGUCUAUGAACACUAAAGAUACACUUUUACACAUUUCUCUGAUUCUCACAGAAGUUCAAAUGGAUAAACUUGGCUGCAUAAAUGACUAAAAUAAAAUGCUUCCAAAUAUAAUUUAUAUGUCAAGGCCAAAGUAUUUUAAAAUGUAUCCUAAUCAAUUUGUUUGCUGAAGUAAUGUAGUGUGCUGUUUGGGAAAAAAAUACAAGCCAGCUUCUACAUGCAUUCAAUGUAAAUGGAAACAUAUAUAUUUAUCUCCAUAAUGAAAAACACAGCAACCCAUCAUCCCUUCCCUCUCCCUGAAAAAGCAUCUGGGAUUGGAAAGGCCAGAAUCAUGACUGAUGCAAGUCUUUUGACUCUGUGUUUAUCAUUGCUAUAUUGAAUGUGAAAUUAGGAAUGUGCAAAACCAUGCGUGGCUUUGUUUUUGUUUGUUUUUUUCAAGUAAGGUUCAGAGCUGGAUUCUACUUUAUCUGAAAUCCUGAAGUUUGGAGAAAAAGGAAAGGUUCAGAUGAAGACUGCCGGCUAUGACUCAUGCCUACUACGCAGUACAUUACAAAUGUUUAAUUUCACCAAAAUCUCUUAUAAGAAAAAUACUGCAGUUGAUGGCUUUCUUUUUAGCUGUGGUGUUAAUAAAAGCUGCUGAUGUCAUAACUGAACAACAAACACA